UACGAAGGGGGCUAGCGUUGUUCGGAAUUACUGGGCGUAAAGCGCACGUAGGCGGAUAUUUAAGUCAGGGGUGAAAUCCCGGGGCUCAACUCCAGAACUGCCUUUGAUACUGAGGAGCUCGAGUCCGGGAGAGGUGAGUGGAACUGCGAGUGUAGAGGUGAAAUUCGUAGAUAUUCGCAAGAACACCAGUGGCGAAGGCAGGUCUCUGGGCCAUAACUGACGCUGAGAAGCGAAAGCAUGGGGAGCGAACAGG
rnacentral:rRNA from 1 species